GAUGAACGCUGGCGGCGUGCCUAAUACAUGCAAGUCGAGCGAACCACUUCGGUGGUGAGCGGCGAACGGGUGAGUAACACGUAGGUGAUCUGCCCAUCAGACGGGGACAACGAUUGGAAACGAUCGCUAAUACCGGAUAGGACGAAAGUUUAAAGGUGCUUCUGGCACCGCUGAUGGAUGAGCCUGCGGCGCAUUAGCUAGUUGGUAGGGUAAAGGCCUACCAAGGCGACGAUGCGUAGCCGACCUGAGAGGGUGAACGGCCACACUGGACUGAGACACGGCCCAGACUCCUACGGGAGGCAGCAGUAGGGAAUCUCCGGCAAUGGGCGAAAGCCUGACCGAGCAACGCCGCGUGAAUGAUGAAGGCCU
rnacentral:rRNA from 1 species